AGAGUCUGAUUUUCACUCCACAGUUCCAUCCAAGGAUGUCAAAGCACUUUGCCUGAGUGAAUUUAUCUGCUCAACAACCCUUGGCUCUGGGUAAAUCCUUACCAGCCCUGGGUCUGGACCUGAUAAUGUGCUCAGGGCAGGGUGGAGCAGCCCCCAGCAGGGAAAUCAUCAGCUCUGCCAUGGAAAUCCCACUGGAAAACCAGGACUCAGCCCCCUCUCUGGAGCCAGGGAAAGUUUGGAUUGGUUUAAAUGGAGAGCUCCUCUGCGCUUGGCAGCAGCAGAUCAGAAGAUUGCUUUUAGUUCCUGGGGUGGAAAGUCCUGUGGGCCGAGAUUUCUCUGCAGCCCACUCCCGCCACUGCUCGGAGCCGCUGCGAUCGCCCUGUGAAUAAUGGAACGUUUUCAUGUUUUAAUCAGAUGCAAUUUUCCAAAUGGUUUUUAUGAUUUAGCAAGUCCAUUAAAAAUGACAUUUGU
rnacentral:lncRNA from 1 species